rnacentral:rRNA from 1 species
AUAAAUGUAUAUUAUUGUAUAUGUUGACCUUUGGUUAAAAGCAGACCCAAAUCGUUAGCAAUAUAGUAAUGUCACUAAUGAUGCAAAAAAUUGAAAUAUGAAACUGAAUUAUUUACUGUGACUCUUCUAAAAAGAGCAGUGAAGUAAAUAAUAGCCAGUUAUAUUAUGUGAAGGUUUACAUAAUAUACUGGCUAUUUUUGUUUUUUGCGCUUAAUUUAAAACACAUUAGGGAGGAAUAAUGAAUGAGUACCGUUAAGCAGGAAAACCUUAAAUUUGCAGGUGUGAGCGAAACAUAUGAGGUUCAAGCUCAUCCUCAGAGUAAUCGACUAUAUCAUAUUAGUAUGAAACCGGAAAUUGUAAAGCGAUUUUUCCAACGUGUUAGGGAGAAUGAUAUUUCAGUCCAACGUUUGGAAUAUACUCCUUACGAACGGCACGUUGUUGCUGGCUUUCUUCUAGAGUUAUCGGGAUCUGGAUUACAAGAUGUCAUCUUAAAUAUUUUGCAUGACCGUGAUUCUGGUGGUUUUACGAUUGGUGUGCAAGGUGAACAGUUAAAUACAGAUGACUAUGUCAUCUUUUCAACAGCCCUAGCUCAUUUAGCUGGUCUGCCUAACCAUGAUGCGAUGUCAAAUAAGUAUUAUGCUAGAUUUACGGUAAAAGACACCGAUGAUAGUGAUUCGUAUUUACGUCAAGCAUAUCGGUUAUUUACGAUGCAUACGGAUGGGACAUUUGUCGAUGAACCAACAGACUGGUUAUUGAUGAUGAAAAUGCAUGAAGCCCAUGCUAAAGGUGGAGAAUCUAGGUUACUCCAUUUGGAUGAUUGGGAAGACUUAGAAAAGUUUUCGACAGAUCCGUUAGCGUCUCAUGAAUUUACUUACAAAGCCCCACCUAGUAAAAAUGUUGCACAGGAAAUUAAACGGACCGUUUUCUUUAAGGUAAAUAAUAAACCAUGUAUUUGUUUUAUUGAUCAAUUUGCUCACCCUGAGUCAAUUGAAGAGGCAAAUUACUUGAAGAACCUUAGUCAUUCUAUGGAGAGCGAUAAGAAUGUCAUUGAAUUAGAACUUCCUGUUGGUGAUUUGGUUAUGGUUAAUAAUUUGUUUUGGUUACAUGGCCGUGCAGCAUUUGAAAAGAAUCCUUUGUUGGAUAGAGAAUUACUUCGACAACGUGGGCGUUUUACUAAAUAAGAGUACCAGGGAGGUCUUCUAAUUUCGGAGACCUCUUUCUUAUAAAUGUAGCUCUUUACUAGGUGUUAAUCAGAAGUCAUGAAGAAUGUAAUUUCCUAUCACUCAUUUCAGAGUCCUUUGAAUGUCCGGUGCAAUUGAUGGAACAAUCGUUGGUAAGUUUUUAGACUAUGUUAGUGGAUUUUUGCUUAAUCAUUUGUCACGUGAACAAGGAAAUUUCAUGAUGUAUAGUAAUGUUCUCUUCGGUUUUGUACCACUUAAAUGGAUAGUAAAGCAAGUUUCAUUUGAUGAAUUUUUUAAAGUUGUACAGGUAAACGUACAAGGUAAAUGAGGAAUCGAGAAAGAGGUUAUGAAAGUUCGUAGGGCGCGUCCAAACAGUUAGGCUGGAAGGUAGGCAAAUCCGCUUUCCGCAAAGGCUGAGCUGUGAUGGCGAGGGAACUUCUUUAUUAAAGUUAUAAAAAAUUCUUUUAGGGAGCAAGAAACAUUUCGUUGUCGAAAAGGAACGGUGUAUCUCUAUGUUGAAAGUGAAGAGACAGUAGAUCCUAAGUGUCAGCCUUCAAAAGGCGAUGCAGCCUAUUAUAUAGCAAAGCAUGAAGUGAUUUUAACGGAAGGAACACAGUAUACCAUCCCUCCAAAAUGUUAAGUUUACUAUUAAUAGAAGUAACUGUAUCUUUUUCGUUAGACGCUUUCCUUUUUGGAUAGCGUCAUUUUCGAGUUUUAAGUAAUAACUGUGGAUGAGUAAAAGGUCUAGCUGUCGAUAAAUGAACAUGUUCCCCACAACAAGUGGAAAACCACUCCUUAUCCACGAAGUUCUCCAUAUUAGAAGAGAUAUACACGUGUCUGGCUUAGAAGAGAAUUAGAUAUCCAUAGAAAAGACUAGGUUACAAUUUGAAAAAUAAUUGCGACGAAAUGAGCCGGUUUACGUCUAAGUAUCAGGAACAUAUAUGCUAGGGGGGAAGAAAAUUUUGUCCAAUGAUAAGCAACAAGUGAUUUCAGAGUGGUACUCGCAAUAUAGCCACUCGAUAUUCAGCUACAUUUUGUUGAUGAUUCAAGACCAGCAACUGGCUGAAGACUUGACUCAGGAAACGUUCAUAAAAGCCUAUAAAAAUUAUGCGAGUUUCAAAGGGAAUUCUAGUCCAAAGACAUGGUUGUUUACCAUAGCGCGUCAUACAACCAUUGACUAUGUUCGAAAGCGAAAGCCAGUCAGUUAUUUGAAAGAGUUACUUACUGUAAAAAAAGACAAAGAACCUCUGCCAGAUGAGGUCGUUCAAAUUAAGGAGAGCUCAAAAGAAUUGUACGAUGCGUUGAGUCAUUUAAAGAAAACAUAUCGCGAUGUUCUCAUCUUAAGGAAAGUAAAGGAGUUUUCCACAAAAGAAACGGCAGAGAUCUUGAACUGUUCUGAGAGCAAAGUAAAGUCAACGUUAAAUCGAGCAAUUCCAGCUUUAGAAAAACAGCUUCUGAAGGAGGGCUACUUACAUGAAAACUCCAUUUGACGAUCGGUUGAAACAAUUGGAUGGUGAUAUUCAAUGGAACGAACAGAGAAAGUAUAAGGUCAAACAAGAGCUUGAAGCUGAAAUGGGAAAGCUCGAAUCGAAGUCUCCAAUGAUGAAGCCUGUAUUUGUGUACACUUCGAGUCUCGUUGCAUUUGUUUUGUUGCUGGUGGUUGGGUUUAACAUGCUGACGAUGAGUGAUCAGCAGACGCCAUCUGAUGAGGGGAACAUUCCUCCUGUUGUAGAAGAAGAUGUGGUGGAAGAAGAUAAUUAUAUAGAUGAAAAGGAAGAGGAGAUAGAU